AUUGAACGCUGGCGGCAGGCUUAACACAUGCAAGUCGAGCGGGGGAAGGUAGCUUGCUACCGGACCUAGCGGCGGACGGGUGAGUAAUGCUUAGGAAUCUGCCUAUUAGUGGGGGACAACAUCUCGAAAGGGAUGCUAAUACCGCAUACGUCCUACGGGAGAAAGCAGGGGAUCUUCGGACCUUGCGCUAAUAGAUGAGCCUAAGUCGGAUUAGCUAGUUGGUGGGGUAAAGGCCUAACAAGGCGACGAUCUGUAGCGGGUCUGAGAGGAUGAUCCGCCACACUGGGACUGAGACACGGCCCAGACUCCGACGGGAGGCAGCAGUUGGGAAUAUUGGACAAUGGGGGGAACCCUGAUCCAGCCAUACCGCGUGUGUGAAGAAGGGCUUAUGGGUGUAAAGCACUUUAAGCGAGGAGGAGGCUACUUUAGUUAAUACCUAGAGAUAGUGGACGUUACUCGCAGAAUAAGCACCGGCUAACUCUGUGCCAGCCGCCGCAGUAA
rnacentral:rRNA from 1 species